AACGAACGCUGGCGGCAUGCCUAACACAUGCAAGUCGAACGAGAUCUUCGGAUCUAGUGGCGCACGGGUGCGUAACGCGUGGGAAUCUGCCUUGGGGUUCGGAAUAACUCCCCGAAAGGGGUGCUAAUACCGGAUGAUGUCGAAAGACCAAAGAUUUAUCGCCCUGAGAUGAGCCCGCGUAGGAUUAGCUAGUUGGUGUGGUAAAGGCGCACCAAGGCGACGAUCCUUAGCUGGUCUGAGAGGAUGAUCAGCCACACUGGGACUGAGACACGGCCCAGGCUCCUACGGGAGGCAGCAGUGGGGAAUAUUGGACAAUGGGCGAAAGCCUGAUCCAGCAAUGCCGCGUGAGUGAUUAAGGCCUUAGGGUUGUAAAGCUCUUUUACCCGGGAAGAUAAUGACUGUACCGGGAGAAUAAGCCCCGGCUAACUCCGUGCCAGCCGCCGCCGCAGUAA
rnacentral:rRNA from 1 species